AUACAGAGGGUGCAAGCGUUAAUCGGAAUUACUGGGCGUAAAGCGCGCGUAGGCGGUUUUGUAAGUCGGAUGUGAAAGCCCUGAGCUCAACUCAGGAACUGCAUUCGAUACUGCAUAACUCGAGUAUGGUAGAGGGAAGUGGAAUUCCAGGUGUAGCGGUGAAAUGCGUAGAUAUCUGGAGGAACAUCAGUGGCGAAGGCGACUUCCUGGACCAAUACUGACGCUGAGGUGCGAAAGCGUGGGGAGCAAACAGGAUUAGAUACCCUAGUAGUCC
rnacentral:rRNA from 1 species